GAUGAACGCUGGCGGCGUGCUUAAUACAUGCAAGUCGAGCGGAAAGGCGCGGCGCUUGUGGCGUGCUCGUUUGGCGAAGGCGUGAGUGACACAUGAGUAAACUGCCCUUAUCAUUGUGGGAACUUCUCGGAACAGGGGCUCAUAUCGGAUAUGAGCUCUUGAUGCGUGGUGUUGGAUGUAAAUUUUCGGCGGUUGUGGAUCGUCUCGAGGCUUAUCCGCUUGAUUGUGUGGUAGUGUAUUACCAGGGCUUUCACGGGUAGCCGGCGUGAGAGGUUGACCGGCCACAUUGCGCCUAAGAUACGGACCAGACUCCUACGUGAGGCAGUGGUGGAGAAUAUUGCACAAUGGGCGGAAGCGUGAUGCAGAAACGCCGCGUGCGGGAUGACGGCUUUCGGGUUGUAAACAGCUUUCGCCUGUAACAAAGACUGAGUGACGGUAAUGGGUAAAGAAGCACCGGCUAACUACGUG
rnacentral:rRNA from 1 species